UACGUAGGUGGCGAGCGUUGUCCGGAUUUACUGGGCGUAAGGAGCGCGCAGGCGGUCGUACAAGUCGCGUGUGAAAGCCCCCGGCUCAACUGGGGAGGGUCACGCGAUACUGUUCGACUCGAAGGCAGGAGAGGGAAGCGGAAUUCCCGGUGUAGUGGUGAAAUGCGUAGAUAUCGGGAGGAACACCAGUGGCGAAGGCGGCUUCCUGGCCUGUUCUUGACGCUGAGGCGCGAAAGCUAGGGUAGCAAACGGG
rnacentral:rRNA from 1 species